CGACGCCGCGUGAGUGAUGAAGGCCUUCGGGUUGUAAAGCUCUGUGGGGAGAGACGAAAAAGCCGGUUCUAACAGGACUGGUAUUGACGGUAUCUCCUUAGCAAGCACCGGCUAACUCUGUGCCAGCAGCCGCGGUAAGACAGAGGGUGCAAACGUUGCUCGGAAUCACUGGGCGUAAAGGGCGUGUAGGCGGACUUGAAAGUCAGGUGUGAAAUCCCCAGGCUCAACCUGGGAACUGCACUUGAAACUCCUUGUCUUGAGUGUCGGAGAGGAAAGCGGAAUUCCUGGUGUAGAGGUGAAAUUCGUAGAUAUCAGGAGGAACACCGGUGGCGAAGGCGGCUUUCUGGACGACAACUGACGCUGAGACGCGAAAGCGUGGGUAGCAAACAGGAUUAGAUACCCUGGUAGUCCACGCCGUAAACGAUGAACACUAGGUGCUGCGGGUAUUGACCCCUGCGGUGCCGUAGCUAACGCAUUAAGUGUUCCGCCUGGGAAGUACGGUCGCAAGACUA
rnacentral:rRNA from 1 species